UCUAGAUGACUGGUGAUGAUAGUUAGGGUGUAGUGACUAUCUUGACCCUUUUCUAAAGGAAACUACAGGUUUGGCUAUUGAUGGCUUCUGAGGUUAAUCACAGCUCUGGGGUCUGGCAGUGGUCCGGCAGCUUCAGGAUCAGUGAGUUUGAUGGGUUCUCUCUGGAUGUUAGGCAUAAGUAACAGUGUUCCUCUAAGUUUCUUUUGAUUUCUGGAACCUUUCACCUAUCUGGUUCUCCUUGAUAAUCUUAAUUCUCUAAUGGUUAGUUUGAUUUGGUUUUUAAUAACCACUAUUUUCUGUCUUGACUCAGAGAUUCAUAGCUUGCUAGAGCUGACAGGGACUGUAGGGUCAUUUUAUUCACUCUCCCCCCUUCCACCUCCACUCCUUUCCCCAGUUUAUUUUAUUUACAAAACCAGUCACCGGCAGAACCACUCAGACAUGUAAGGUAUCUUCUUGUAAGCCAUGUGGACCAAUCCAGAGCUGGCCAAGAACCCUCUCCACAGUAUGCUUGACAAGUAUUUAUCCAGCCUUUGCUUGAAGUCAUAGAGAGUCCACUAUUUCUUGAAGCAGCCUGUUACACUAAAGACAGCUAUAUUUACCAGGAUGUUUUUUUCCUUAUAUGGAGUAGAAAUGUUUCCUCAGCUUUUACAAUUCAAGGCCUAGUAUAACAAAGUUAAAAAACUCUUCUCCGAAUAAUUGUCUUCAAAAUCAAGAAAGCUGUCAUCCCUAUCACCCAUCCCCUUUCCUUUAGCCUUCUCUUCCUGAGCCUUUGCAGCCCCAGUUCCUUUAUUGCCUGUUUGUCACCAUUAUUGGUUUCCUCACCCUUCCUGGUUGUCUUUCUGACUCUCUAGCUUGGCAGAAUUCUUUCUGGAAUGGAGAAGUCCCUGUUUCUUCAGGUCCACAGCAGCAGACUGACCAUUUGCUUAUAUUACAUAUCACAGAUCUGUGGCUGAAAAGGACUUCACAAGUUAUCUCAUCCAAAUUUUUUAUAGCUAAGGAAAGUAAAGAACCAGAGAAAUUAAGGAAUUUGUCCCAAGUGUCAGAGAGGAGAAACUGAGGCCCCAAGGAAGCACAUGGAUGCAUCUAAGAUGAGUCCAGCAGAGCUAGGGUCAGAAUCUCCGUCUCCUGACUGCUGGUCUUCUGCCACAUUGUCAUUGCCAAAAAAUUCUGCAGCUCAGAUGUUGACAGAGACAAUAAGGAGGGGCAGAAGCAAACAACUGUGUAACCGACUGAGCAAUGGUCUGCUGUCAAGAGCCAAGCCUGUGGAAAAAAUAAAUACACAGAUAUUCAUGCUGUGUGCAGUGUGUAUUGAUCCUUUUUUUUUUAUAUAUAAAUUCGGAGGCUGAGCGAGAAGGUCAUGGGAUUGAAGAGAAAGACGUCACACCCUAGACAGGCUUCACAGAGGUGGCAUUUUCAGGCUGGCAUGCUAAAUUAGGCUCGCUCCAUCUUUCCUGUUCACCAAAGUGAAUAUUGAGCAUGUGGGAAUGGAGUGGGCCCCGUCACUGCUGAAUUACAGGCUCUAAAUCCUUAGUACAUGGAAACAAGAAGAUAAAUAGAAAACUAGUUUUGCUUAUUUGAUAUAAAAGGCUCAUGUUUUCAGUGGGGAGCGUUGAAGAGAACUUUGCAGAUUGUAAAUUCCAUGAGUACAGGGAACUAUGAUUGUCUUUGUGGCUCUCCCAGCUCCUAAUGCAGUUAACCCAUAAGAAAUGGUGAUUUUGUUAAAAGUUAUAAAAAUCUCUCCAUCUCAUCCCAGACAUCACACAGUGUCUGGAACAAAGUAAAUGCUUAAUAAAUACUUGGUGAUUGAUCAAA